GAUGAAGAACGUAGCGAAAUGCGAUAAGUAGUGUGAAUUGCAGAAUUCAGUGAAUCAUCGAAUCUUUGAACGCACAUUGCGCCCUUUGGUAUUCCUUAGGGCAUGCCUGUUCGAGCGUCAUUUAAACCUUCAAGCUCAGCUUGGUGUUGGGUGACUGUCCGCUUCACCGCGGACUCGCCUCAAAAUUAUUGGCGGCCGGUACAUUGGCUUCGAGCGCAGCAGAAACGCGAACUCGGGCCCGUCGUAUUGGCUCCCAGAAGCUAUCUUCACAAUUUUGACUUCGGAUCAGGUAGGGAUACCCGCUGAACUUAAGCAUAUCAAUAAGCGGAGGA
rnacentral:misc_RNA from 1 species